AAUUUUGUGGCAAAGUGGUAAUGCUCACGACUUUGAUUCAUAAAGUUGUGGGUUCGAGGCCCACCACAGUCU